UACGUAGGCAGCAAGCGUUGUUCGGAAUUACUGGGCGUAAAGGGCUCGUAGGCGGUUUGUCACGUCGGGAGUGAAAACUCGGGGCUUAACCCCGAGCCUGCUUCCGAUACGGGCUGACUAGAGGUAUGCAGGGGAGAACGGAAUUCCUGGUGUAGCGGUGAAAUGCGCAGAUAUCAGGAAGAACACCGGUGGCGAAGGCGGGUCUCUGGGCAGUAACUGACGCUGAGGAGCGAAAGCGUGGGGAGCGAACAGG
rnacentral:rRNA from 1 species